AGAGUUUGAUCAUGGCUCAGAACGAACGCUGGCGGCAUGCCUAACACAUGCAAGUCGAACGCUCGUAGCAAUACGGGAGUGGCGGACGGGUGAGUAACGCGUGGGAACCUGCCCUGCAGUGGGGAAUAACGGCUGGAAACGGCCGCUAAUACCGCAUACGCCCGUAAGGGGAAAGAUUUAUCGCUGUUGGAGGGGCCCGCGUCGGAUUAGGUAGUUGGUGGGGUAAUGGCCUACCAAGCCUUCGAUCCGUAGCUGGUCUGAGAGGACGACCAGCCACACUGGGACUGAGACACGGCCCAGACUCCUACGGGAGGCAGCAGUGGGGAAUAUUGGACAAUGGGGGCAACCCUGAUCCAGCAAUGCCGCGUGAGUGAUGAAGGCCCUAGGGUUGUAAAGCUCUUUCAGUCGCGACGAUGAUGACGGUAGCGACAGUGAGCCCC
rnacentral:rRNA from 1 species